UCUCUCAUCAACCACGUUCCCUCAAUUCUUCUCUCCACAAAAAACCCUAGCCGCCCCAAAUUGAUGUCGAGAAGAAACUUCCGCCAUCGUCUCUCGCCGUAAAAACGUGGUAGAAUCAUCGGUCAUCUCGCCGCAAAAAUCAACGUCGGUCGCCAAUUCACAGGCCUAAAGGACCGAUUUUUAGUUUCACGCGCGCGAUUGAGUUUCUGAAGUUCCGAUAUUGGUUUCUGAAGAUUCGAUUUUGGGUAAUAAACACUUAACAUCAAUGAUGAAGAGAGGCAAACCCUUCAAGAGUCAACCAACACAGACUGAAGCAAGUAAGCAGCGUCGCGUUGAUUUUGAUGAAGCAGUAGAUGAUGUAAUUCUAAUUGUAUUAGCCCAGAAGCUUCGGCAUAGAUUAUCGGAGGACAAAGCAGAGACCAGUACAUCCCGUAAAGAGUGGAUAGGAUGUAUGGGGUGGAGAAGUAUGGGGAGUGAUCGUAUGGAUACUUUAUGGAUAGCUUAAUGUUGGAAGUGAUAAUAUCAGACUUGUUGGUUAGCUAGUUGUGAACAAUUUCAAGUUUUAUGAACUUGUGCAAAUUAAGCUUCAA